UCCUUUUCCCAUUGUGUUUUCUGCAGCAGGCAGAGCCUCCAGCCCUGGGACAAGGUCAAUGACGCCUCGGCUGCUUAAGGAGGGGCAGAUGGCCCCCACCCCCGGCUAACCACAAGGACAGGCAGAGCCGACUGCCUGGGAGGGCAGGGAUGCCCUCAAGGACCAGCUCGGAGGCCCAGACGCAGGGGCUCAUGUAAGACUCAGGACCAUGGAAGCCCCUCCUUCCACACCAUGAGCCUGACACCAAAUAGCACAGCAAGCAGCGGUGGUCAGUCGUGUCCUGGGGAAGGGCCGGAGCCAGGAGAGUCCCACAUGGUGCAGGCCUGUGGGCACAAAGGUGGAGGAAGGGCUGGGAACACAAAGGAAGGCCUCUGGCACUUCAGCCCCAUGUGACCUAGAGCAGCUGGUCACCCUGGGCUUGGGACACUGAUGCAAGGCAAGUGUGGUCUGCAGAAACAAAGCCCAAGCCCGUUGAGCGCCUGACCAGACUGUCAACCACCUGCUCCGCACUCUCUUAAAGGCAUAUAGAAUAUUUCCUGCAGCACUGCAGUUUGGAUCUGAAGUGUCCCCACAGGCCCCUGGCGUGCAGGCCUGUCCCCAGCCGAGGUGCUGUUUACUGAGAGGGGAGGACCUGUCAGAGGUGGUGAAGCCAGAAUUAGACAGGCAGUCAGUCUAGAAAGGUAAGGCAAGUCAGGUCAGCUCAAGGAGGUCAAUUUUGAGUGAGGCUGGGAAGUUGGAGACUGUCCUCUUGAAGUGGCACCCCCUUUCUCCACAGAAAAGCCCUCUUCACCAUGGCUGAUUUUAGGACUGUCAGCAAAAGAGUCUCUUCGAAAGAGUCCAAUGUAGAUAAAGUUCCUAUUUUCAUGUCACCCUGCUUACUUGGCCACUGGCCGAGAAGAUACCAGCACUCCAGGUGAUGGACACCCCUUACUAGUUUUUGACACACAUAUCCAGUAUAGUAGUUUGAAGAACUGUGCAAACAAGGCCUCUGGCCUUGAGCUGGGCUUCACAGAGAUGUCUACAUUUUUAAGAUAAGUUACAAAUGGGCCCAUGGUAACAGCUGGCAGGGGGAGGAAAGAGAGGGGAGAAGAGGCUCCCCCUUCUCAGGUGUUGUCCUUGAAGGGUCAACUUGCCCAGAACAGUGAGAGAAAAAGCUGAUUUCGUGUGAACUUCUGCAGACUGUGAACUGCUGAGCCCCUCCCCUUACAUGCUGGGGAUAAAAUUCUGAAACUCCCUGAACUCGGGGUUCAGGGGAUUGAUUGAUUACAGCACAGGCUGUGCCCCCUGAGCCUGGCUGCAGCCAAAUAAAACUGUUUCCUGCCGUCUUGGGUGCCUG
rnacentral:lncRNA from 1 species